CAGCCGCCGCGGUAAUACGUAGGGCGCAAGCGUUAUCCGGAAUUAUUGGGCGUAAAGAGCUCAUAGGCGGUUUGUCGCGUCUGCCGUGAAAGUCCGGGGCUCAACCCCGGAUCUGCGGUGGGUACGGGCAGACUAGUGUGAUGUAGGGGAGACUGGAAUUCCUGGUGUAGCGGUGAAAUGCGCAGAUAUCAGGAGGAACACCGAUGGCGAAGGCAGGUCUCUGGGCAUUAACUGACGCUGAGGAGCGAAAGCAUGGGGAGCGAACAGGAUUAGAUACCCCAGUAGUCCCUGUCUCUUAUAC
rnacentral:rRNA from 1 species